UGGAUUUUAGCUAACUGAAAAAGGUGUCUAUAUAGUGGGUUUGCUACCAAAUAUUUUUCAAGAUUGUAAUGAAAAUAAGGUUUUUGGAAACAGCAACAGUAAACGUCGGGGGCAUGAAGACUGAAGAAACCAUCCCUCUUAAAAAUUGAUAAAAGGGUAAGACUCGCAGGCAGAGAGCAGAGGCCUAUGGAUUUUUAAGAAUGUGUAUCUCCAGCAAUAACUUUCACCAGAGUAAGAAGUUGGAGGGAGCAACAAACAAGAGGAGCGGCCACAAAAGAUAAAGUUGAACAGCCUAUCCUGGAAAACAUUU
rnacentral:lncRNA from 1 species